ensembl:lncRNA
GGUGGUGGAAGUGAGGAGCGGGCUGGUUGUGGCGCCCCGAGGCCAAGCUGUGUCGAGCUGGAAAAUGACUUAGAGUCAACAGCAGGUGGCAUUGUUAGCAAAGGUUGUGCUUUUGGGAACUAAUCAGCCUGGAGAGGAGCAUCUUUCCAAUCUGAGGCAAGGUCAUCUAAAAAAAUCAUACUCAGCAAGUCAUAUGACAUUUCAGCAGCCUCAGUGGGAAGACUUGCGGACCAGGCACUGGAAUUCUCUGAAGGCUUCUCCGAGCAUCUCUCCAUGUCUCUGAGCUCUCUCUCUGUGAUCUUGCUGGUCUGGUGGCUUCGGGGUAGCAGGAUAUCUUAUACAUUGUCUCCAAGCCUCAUGUUUUCAAAGAG